AUAAGAAUCAUACUUGGGGGGCAGAGGAGCUAGUUUUGAGUUUUGGCUCUACCACUACCUGGAUGAUGACCUUGGGCAGAUACUGAAGAGAUGAGUUACAAGGAUUUGUCAGGCCAUGAGACACAGAAUCUCAGAGAACCUUCAGAGCUGGCAGGGGAAAGGUUCCAAACUGUUGAGGAGACUGUUGGACUUCACUUGGGGGUUUGCAGCUAACAAAGAAGCUGGUAGUUGCUGAUCUGUGCUCUUCUGGACAACUCUGGAUCAUCCUUCAAGCAGCCCUCUGGACAAGAAUGGAUAGGUGUGUCCCAAUUACCCUUGGGUGGACCAAGGGAAAGAUUGGGAGCUCCAGUCAUUCUCUAGACCAUCUAGGACUCCUCAUCUGGACUCCAGCCUCUACUUGGCAAAAGACUCUAUAUCUAUAAGUUAGGAAGAACAACUCUGAGCUAGUCUUGAGAAUCCAGUGGGAGAGAGCUCUUAGCUUUGUCCCC
rnacentral:lncRNA from 1 species